UUCAUUAAUUCCUUAUUAAGACUCCUCGAGGGACACUAUUAUUCCCAUUGACAGAUGGAGAAACUGAGAUGUGGCUGGGCUGGGAUCUGAUCCAGGCGGCUUCAGAGCCUGUGCUCCCAGCACAGUGACUAGCAGGCCAAUGAUGAUGGCCAGGUGUGUGACUGAACUACCCAUUGUGAAGCCUUAGGAAAUCUGCUUAGUAUUUCCAUGCCAGUUUUCUCAUCUGUGGAACAGGUAUUAGCAGAAUAUCUCAUAAGGUGAUUUUAACAAUAAGAAAAUUUGUCUCAAAACAAGAAAUUCAGCAACAGUUCAAUCUAGAGUUAUUCAAUGCAGGGACUCGAUGUCCUUGCUUCUUGUCUCUGGUGUCCUUGGUGUGCUGACUGUACCUCAAGAGUUGACUCCAUUUAUUGCUACUAGAAGGGAAUCCCAGGAAUCAUAUCAGUAAUAAGUAUCCAGUUCUUUCUCUAGAAAGGACCCAGCUCCUCAUGUGCCUCCUUUUUAGGAAUGAUAAAUACUUGCCCUUCUCAAAGUCUACUAACAAGACUUGGCUCAUGCCUUAUUGGGAAGGUUCACGUCCCACACCCAUACCCAAACUAAUCACUGGCAAGACUUUUCCAUGAAUGCAUGGUGGGGAGUCAACCGUAAAGAUUCCAACGUUAAACUUUUGAGAAAAGUCUACCAAUCAUAUUUCCCCCCCCCCCCCCAAGCUUAUGAACCACUGAUAUUUAAGAUGAAUUACUUUAUUGACAUAAAGAGAGAAAAACAGUUUAAUGAACAUUUAUUUUACAUUCCAACCGAAUGAAAGGCACUAAAUAUGCUAGGCACCGAGGAAAACACAGAUGAAAAUAAGACUCAUCAUUUGUCCUUGUCUUUCCUACCAUAAUAGUGGAUAUAAGCACAAGAAUACAAACCACAAACUAUUUUGCAAGGCAAUUUUUUUUAUAAUAUUUGAUGCACAAUUAAAGUGUUAUGAGAACAGACGGCAGAUUCAUUCAGAAUGAAAUCUUUGUUGCAGAGACCAUUACACGGAAUUCUGCGAUUUCUAACUGUCGCAGAGCCAUAGACAAUACACUACCCCACAAGUUUGAAGAGAACAUUUCAUCAACCUCAGCAGAAACAGAGCUAUUCUCCCAGUGGAUGCCAUCAUCUCUCACCUCAGCAUCCAGCAGAGAGCACAGGGUCAGAUCAACCAAAGCACAACAGUGGCUUACUUUCCAAUAGACAAACUGUUUACAAACAAAACAGCUUAUUAAUGAAGGUAUAACAUACAUAGAGUGCAUGAAUGUUAAAUGUACAACUCAAUAAAUUCUUAUAUACAUAUGAAUGAUGGCAACUCUCAAAAGUAAAAAAAAGAAAAACAGUGGCUGACACACAGAAAGACCUCAGUAAGUAGAUGUUUCAUCUGCUGAUAAGUAAGAAAUACAAUCUUGGUUUCAUUGGCAUUUCUUUGAUAAAUGUGGUUGAACACUUUUGUUACUUGUUUACGUCCUGUGGUCUUCUAUUGAUACAUUUUUUAAAAAAUGUUUUUUUUAAUUUUUUACUAAUUUCUAAGACCCUUGUUUAUACUAAUGGCACUCACUCUGUCUUAUGUUGUAAAUAUUUUUCCCAAUUGGUCCCUUGCCCUUUAAAUGUAUUUGCCAACUGUUUUUAUAUUUAUGUGGAUAAACUUUCUAUUUCUUUUAACUUGGGGCUUUAAUGUUCUGCUUUUUAAAAAAGUUUUUGCCCAAUUACAUUAUUAAAUAUCCCCCAUUUUAGUAUGAAACCCCUAUAAUUUUCUUUCUUUAUAUUUAAAUCUUUAAUCCAUGUAGAAUUUUAUCUUAGUACAAUGUAUGAGGCUAGAAUCUAACCUUGUUUAAAAUUAGCCAAUCCUGCCAAAGCCACAUUGUACAUCAAAUAACUAUUACAUUUUAUACUUGAUUAAAAUGACAUAUGUAUCAUAUAGUAAUUGUUCAUGUUUUAAUUUUUUCUUCUGUAUCAUAAAAAUGUGCAGAGGACCUGAAUUUAGUUAAGUCCCUCAACUGUAUAGGAAGCUUAGUUCUAUUAUAUGCAAUAGCCAUGGCAGGAGAAAAAUACUUAAAUUGUACAUACUAGUAUGUAUUUUUAGACUGACCAGUCUUUUACUGAUCAUUCAGUCUUUUUCUGCUUGGAUAUGUAUUUCCUGUAAAGUUACACCUUCAUAUCCCCUGCCUGGAGUAGCCCACCUUGGCUUACAAUGUCCUCAUACACCUGUUCAUUGAUGUAUUCAGUGCCUACUGUAUACCAUGCACCAUGCUAAGUAGUGAACCAGGCAAAUGCAACUCUUCCCAUAAUGUACCUAUAGCAUAAUAAAUUAUCUGGUAGAAGACAAUCUUUAAAUAUUUACACUAAUAACUCAUCACAAUGUGUUUGGUGCUAUGAAGAAUAGCACAUUACCCUUCCCAGCUUAGAAGUUCUAUUUCCAGAUCUGUUCGUUUCUUCCUGCAUCCAUGAAGCACAAUCUGGGAGAUCUGGUUCCAGUUUCCAAUGGGAAAUACCAGAAAGAACCUUGGGGAUUAUCUUCAGAGUAUUUACAAGGCUGGUAUGAGGAAUAAGAGAAAAAUAUUUGAAAGAGAGCUCUAAAACAUUAAGAGGACAGAAUACCCAUAUCCUCAGCAAAGCCAGCCCCAUGGCAGAUGCGAUCUGAAACAGUUUAACAAGGUCAGAACUGAGCAGAGUCAACUUCAGUGGACCAUUUUUGGCUUUGAAUGAGAAAACAGCUGUUAUCUUUUUUUUUUAAUUCUGUUUUUUCCUGUGGUGUCCCUAGUUUCUACAUUUGAUAGGUUUCAAACCAUGAACAAUUGUGUAGCUGAGAAAAAAAUUUGCUUUAU